rfam:Stegodyphus mimosarum contig100503, whole genome shotgun sequence.
GCCUUUGUGGUGUAGUGGUCAGAACGCUCGACGCAUAACCGAGAGGUCCGUGGUUCGCUUCCCGGCGAAGGCA